CCUACGGGAGGCUGCAGUGGGGAAUAUUGCACAAUGGGGGAAACCCUGAUGCAGCGACGCCGCGUGAGUGAAGAAGUAAUUCGUGAUGUAAAGCUCUAUCAGCAGGGAAGAAAAUGACGGUACCUGCGUAAGAAGCCCCGGCUAACUACGUACCAGCAGCCGCGGUAAUACGUAGGGGGCAAGCGUUAUCCGGAUUUACUGGUUGGAAAGGGCGCGUGGACGGCAGUGCAAGUCUGGAGUGAAAGGCGGGGGCUCAACCCCCGGACUGCUCUGGAAACUGUACGGCUGGAGUGCAGGAGAGGUAAGUGGAAUUCCUAGUGUAGCGGUGAAAUGCGUAGAUAUUAGGAGGAACACCAGUGGCGAAGGCGGCUUACUGGACUGUAACUGACGCUGAGGCUCGAAAGCGUGGGGAGCAAACAGGAUUAGAUACCCGGGUAGUC
rnacentral:rRNA from 1 species